CCCUGGUGGCUCAGAUGGUAAAGAGUCUGCCUGCAAUGCAGAAGACCUGGGUUCUAUCCCCGGGUCAGGAA
rnacentral:tRNA from 1 species